rnacentral:RNase_P_RNA from 1 species
GAGUCGGCCGGAUGAUCGCGGCCCGGGAAUCGGGUUGAGGAAAGUCCGGACUCCACAGAGCAGGGUGGUGGGUAACGCCCACCCGGGGCGACCCGCGGGACAGUGCCACAGAAAACAAACCGCCCGGCUUAGUCGGGUAAGGGUGAAACGGUGGUGUAAGAGACCACCAGCGCCACAGGUGACUGGGGCGGCUAGGUAAACCCCACUCGGAGCAAGACCAAGAAGGCCAGCUGGCCGCGGACGCCGUUCGAGCGCUGCUCGCGCGAGGCGCCCGGGUAGGUCGCAAGAGCCCGUCGGUAACGACGGUCCUAGAUGGAUGAUCAUCCACGACAGAAUCCGGCUUACAGGCCGGCUCGUC